CUCAAGCACUCGACUGUGCAGCGUCGAUGAAAUUCAGCCCUCAACAUCAACUCCGGAGUUGGCCAACUGGUCCUCUUCUUUGUCCUUUAGCCAGUGAGAGAUGCUCUCACCUGCUGGAGAUCUAUUUACCCGUUAUUUACCUGCCAAGUCUCCUGCCAAAUCGAGAAUUUUCCCCUGCAAGAUUCCAGGGUCUUGCAAGCACCUCAGGCCGAAGGAAAAAGCUUCGCUGCUUGAGGUGUCUGAGAUGUCACUAACCGCUGCUGAGAAGAGGCAGAACCCUAAAUUCAAGGCCAGCACUCAGUUGAUUCCAGCACAUUGCUGCAGGCGUGUGCACACACUGCCAUUUAGAUCCCAAGGGAGAAGGAUUCAGGACCCCUGCAGCAUCAUCAUGCCUCCUUCCCACUAGCAAAGGCUGUCUCCAACCAGCAGCCUCCUUGGAGAGCAAUUCCGGUGUUUCCAGGGCUGCCACGGCGUCUUCAGGAGUCAGAGCCCGCGUGUGCCGGGGAGCAGCGGAGC